AGUUUUUGGACGAACUAUGGAAGAGAAUAUCUUAGGCUACGAUCCACGAAAAGGAAAUUUGAAGUAAUUCGGAUGCUGGGAGUUGAAGAAUGAAAGUCUAAAACGUCGACGAUGAGGUAAGUAGCCACCUUGGACUUUUAUUAAGAAAUACUUGUAGGAAUCACUUUGAUUUCCAUAUGAACCGUAAACAAAGAAUGAAUUAAGAAUAUAU